rnacentral:rRNA from 1 species
GACGAACGCUGGCGGCGUGCUUAACACAUGCAAGUCGAACGGAAAGGCCCUGCUUUUGUGGUGUGCUCGAGUGGCGAACGGGUGAGUAACACGUGAGUAACCUGCCCUUGACUUUGGGAUAACUUCAGGAAACUGGGGCUAAUACCGGAUAGGAGCUCCUGCUGCAUGGUGGGGGUUGGAAAGUUUCGGCGGUUGGGGAUGGACUCGCGGCUUAUCAGCUUGUUGGUGGGGUAGUGGCUUACCAAGGCUUUGACGGGUAGCCGGCCUGAGAGGGUGACCGGCCACAUGGGGACUGAGAUACGGCCCAGACUCCUACGGGAGGCAGCAGUGGGGAAUAUUGCACAAUGGGCGGAAGCCUGAUGCAGCAACGCCGCGUGCGGGAUGACGGCCUUCGGGUUGUAAACCGCUUUCGCCUGUGACGAAGCGUGAGUGACGGUAAUGGGUAAAGAAGCACCGGCUAACUACGU